AACGAACGCUGGCGGCAGGCCUAACACAUGCAAGUCGAGCGAGGACUUCGGUUCUAGCGGCGGACGGGUGAGUAACGCGUGGGAAUGUGCCCUUCUCUACGGAAUAGCCCUGGGAAACUGGGAGUAAUACCGUAUACGCCUUAUUGGGGAAAGAUUUAUCGGAGAAGGAUCAGCCCGCGUUGGAUUAGGUAGUUGGUGGGGUAAUGGCCUACCAAGCCGACGAUCCAUAGCUGGUUUGAGAGGAUGAUCAGCCACACUGGGACUGAGACACGGCCCAGACUCCUACGGGAGGCAGCAGUGGGGAAUCUUAGACAAUGGGGGCAACCCUGAUCUAGCCAUGCCGCGUGAGUGAUGAAGGCCUUAGGGUUGUAAAGCUCUUUCAGCUGGGAAGAUAAUGACGGUACCAGCAGAAGAAGCCCCGGCUAACUCCGUG
rnacentral:rRNA from 1 species